AACGAACGCUGGCGGCGUGCUUAACACAUGCAAGUCGAACGGAAAGGCCCUGCUUUGGUGGGGUGCUCGAGGGGCGAACGGGUGAGUAACACGUGAGUAACCUGCCCUUGACUUUGGGAUAACUUAAGGAAACUGGGGCUAAUACCGGAUAGGAGCUCCUGCUGCAUGGUGGGGGUUGGAAAGUUUCGGCGGUUGGGGAUGGACACGCGGCUUAUGAGCUUGAUGGAGGGGUAGUGUCUUACCAAGGCUUUGACGGGUAGCAGGGCUGGGAGGGUGACCGGCCACAUUGGGACUGAGAUGCGGCCCAGACUCCUAUGGGAGGCGGCAGUGGGGAAUAUUGCACAAUGGGCGGAGGGCUGGUGUGACCAAGCCGCGUGGGGGAAGACGGCCUUCGGUUUGUGUACCACUUUCGCCUGUCACGAAGCGAGAGUGACGGUAAUGGGUAAAUAAGCACCGGCUAACUACGUG
rnacentral:rRNA from 1 species